rnacentral:snRNA from 1 species
CAACUACUAUUAAUUAAAUAAUUUGAG